GGCUUAACACAUGCAAGUCGAGGGGCAGCACAGGUAGCAAUACCGGGUGGCGACCGGCGCACGGGUGAGUAACGCGUAUGCAACUUGCCUAUCAGAGGGGGAUAACCCGGCGAAAGUCGGACUAAUACCGCAUGAAGCAGGGGCCCCGCAUGGGGAUAUUUGCUAAAGAUUCAUCGCUGAUAGAUAGGCAUGCGUUCCAUUAGGCAGUUGGCGGGGUAACGGCCCACCAAACCGACGAUGGAUAGGGGUUCUGAGAGGAAGGUCCCCCACAUUGGUACUGAGACACGGACCAAACUCCUACGGGAGGCAGCAGUGAGGAAUAUUGGUCAAUGGCCGAGAGGCUGAACCAGCCAAGUCGCGUGAGGGAUGAAGGUUCUAUGGAUCGUAAACCUCUUUUAUAAGGGAAUAAAGUGCGGGACGUGUCCCGUUUUGUAUGUACCUUAUGAAUAAGGAUCGGCUAACUCCGUGCCAGCAGCCGCGGUAAUACGGAGGAUCCGAGCGUUAUCCGGAUUUAUUGGGUUUAAAGGGUGCGUAGGCGGCCUUUUAAGUCAGCGGUGAAAGUCUGUGGCUCAACCAUAGAAUUGCCGUUGAAACUGGGGGGCUUGAGUAUGUUUGAGGCAGGCGGAAUGCGUGGUGUAGCGGUGAAAUGCAUAGAUAUCACGCAGAACCCCGAUUGCGAAGGCAGCCUGCCAAGCCAUUACUGACGCUGAUGCACGAAAGCGUGGGGAUCAAACAGGAUUAGAUACCCUGGUAGUCCACGCAGUAAACGAUGAUCACUAGCUGUUUGCGGUACACUGUAAGCGGCACAGCGAAAGCGUUAAGUGAUCCACCUGGGGAGUACGCCGGCAACGGUGAAACUCAAAGGAAUUGACGGGGGCCCGCACAAGCGGGGGAACAUGUGGUUUAAUUCGAUGAUACGCGAGGAACCUUACCCGGGUUUGAACGCAUUCGGACCGAGGUGGAAACACCUUUUCUAGCAAUAGCCGUUUGCGAGGUGCUGCAUGGUUGUCGUCAGCUCGUGCCGUGAGGUGUCGGCUUAAGUGCCAUAACGAGCGCAACCCUUGCCACUAGUUACUAACAGGUAAAGCUGAGGACUCUGGUGGGACUGCCAGCGUAAGCUGCGAGGAAGGCGGGGAUGACGUCAAAUCAGCACGGCCCUUACAUCCGGGGCGACACACGUGUUACAAUGGCGUGGACAAAGGGAGGCCACCUGGCGACAGGGAGCGAAUCCCCAAACCACGUCUCAGUUCGGAUCGGAGUCUGCAACCCGACUCCGUGAAGCUGGAUUCGCUAGUAAUCGCGCAUCAGCCAUGGCGCGGUGAAUACGUUCCCGGGCCUUGUACACACCGCCCGUCAAGCCAUGGGAGCCGGGGGUACCUGAAGUCCGUAACCGAAAGGAUCGGCCUAGGGUAAAACUGGUGACUGGGGCUAAGUCAUAACAA
rnacentral:rRNA from 1 species